CGACUGCGCCACCCAGGCGCCCCAAAAAAGGUUUUUUUUUAAUGAAUAUGUAGUGAAACAAAACAUCAAAGUCGAUGACAACUAAAAAUAGGAUACAAAAUUAUGCACAUGUUAUGUGUGGUAGGCAGCCUUGAAAAUGACCCCCACCAUCCCUGCCUGUUGGGAUUCAUGCCCUUAUGUCCUUAUGUAAUCCCCUCUCCUUAAGUGUGGGCUGGAUUUACUGAUUCACUUGUAAUCAGUAGGGAUGUCCCUGCUGAGAUUAGGUUUUUAAAAGACUGGCUUUCAUCUUGGUUGUUCUCUUAUUCUCUCCUUCUCAGAUCACCACCUACCAUGUUGAGAGGACACAUAGGCAGCCUAUGAAAAGGACCAUGUGCUAAGGAACCAGCAAUCAUCAGCUAAGGAUUCAGCAACCACUUGAGUAAGCUGAAUCCUUUGGCCCCCAGUUGAGAUGGCUAUAACCCAUAGACUUCCAGAUUCCCAACACACAGAAACUGAGAGAGAAACACAAUGCUUACCAUUUCCAGCUCAAGACUGGCUUAACGGCCUCCUCCGAGGUUAAUGUUAACAUCGUUCUGGACAGAGUAACAGGAAGCAUCUGUGUAUCUGACCACAAACUGAGAUGAUCCAUUCUUCCCCCAUCUGAAGUAUAAGUUCUGUUGGUAUUAAAUUGCUUAAUUGCUUCUGCUUUAUAUAUUAAUACUUUAAAACAUCAUAAAAUCUCUGGGAAAACUAAAA